ACACACACACACACACGCACGCACGCGCACAAACACACACACAGAGAAUAUACAUUGUAAAGUAGAAAUUUUACAACAUAUACUAGAAGUAUUAAAGCAUUGUAAAUAAUAUUUGCAAAAUUUUAUAAUACACACAAGGUCUUUGUAACUUUGUGCGAAAUGGCAAGAAUUGACAUAUAUAUUUCCGACAGUUUUUAAUCUCCUGAAGAAAAAAGUUGCAUAAGCACAUUUUCGUGAUUCAGCAAGAUGUAAGAAAAAAGAUGUCUCAUUCUAUCAUCGAGCAAUAAACAACUAGUUACAUUUAAUCUGAGAACGAGACCGGAAGAAAAUCAUCAGUAGAAGACACGGAUAUAGUAUGUUGAAGAAUCGUACAGCUACGUCAUAUCCGGUAUUCGAUUUGCAGAAUGAGAAGAGAAUAUUUCGCAAUAUAGAGAUAAAAGGACCUUGAGGCUCGUCACUUCCUCAGCAAUCCCCCUCUACAUUGCCUUGUUGAGUGAGACAAAGAGGGAUCUGAAAAGAAUAGAAACUAUCGUUGGAGCCUCAUCGCUAAGAGAACAAAAAUUGAUGGAGGUGAUAUCAAGUGGCCUGGAAGAUCGUUAGAUCCAUAAUUUCAGCAGAAUUUAAUGGGAUUACAUUAAAAAUGUCAUCUAUCAAGAGCGGCCAAUUACAAUUAAUGACAUAAAAGAACGCAUUCGUAUUACUAUCCCGUGUAAUCAACUGUUGAAAAUUAUUCAUUAUUUCCAUCGCCGAAUUCAAUUAGUUAUUCAAAUAAAUGAUGUUAACUUUAAA